rnacentral:lncRNA from 1 species
GUAUAUUAUAAAAGAUAUCUUCUACAGACUUAUCUUCAACUCAUCCAAGAGUUAGUGAGGUUCUUUCAAUUGGAUACACUUGGAGUUGGGAUUGAAAAAUCAGGAUGUUGCUCGAUGAUUAGCUUAGUUCGAGCAUAUCAACUCAGUUCUUUUUUGAUUGCAGAUAGUUAUAGAUUAAUUUAAGAGAUCAUGAAUGGCAUCGAUAGUU